UUCCAGACUCCUACGGGAGGCAGCAGUGGGGAAUAUUGCACAAUGGGGGAAACCCUGAUGCAGCGACGCCGCGUGAGUGAAGAAGUAUUUCGGUAUGUAAAGCUCUAUCAGCAGGGAAGAUAAUGACGGUACCUGAGUAAGAAGCCCCGGCUAACUACGUGCCAGCAGCCGCGGUAAUACGUAGGGGGCAAGCGUUAUCCGGAUUUACUGGGUGUAAAGGGAGCGUAGACGGCAUGGCAAGUCUGAAGUGAAAGCCCGGGGCUCAACCGCGGGACUGCUUUGGAAACUGUUAAGCUGGAGUGCAGGAGAGGUAAGUGGAAUUCCUAGUGUAGCGGUGAAAUUCGUAGAUAUUAGGAGGAACACCAGUGGCGAAGGCGGCUUACUGGACUGUAACUGACGUUGAGGCUCGAAAGCGUGGGGAGCAAACAGGAUUAGAUACCCGUGUA
rnacentral:rRNA from 1 species